CCCGCCACUCUGCCUGUCUGUUAGUGACUGUGUAUAGUCCAGUGGAGGCUGAGAUUGACCCAGCUCUAGGAAGCAGGGCUACCCAGUAUAGUGGGAAUCCCUGUGCCGAAAGAUCUGGUACAUGU
ensembl:snoRNA small nucleolar RNA SNORA65